rnacentral:lncRNA from 1 species
UCUGAUUCUGAGUCAGAGAAGGAAGAAACAGAUGAAAAACGUACUGCAGAGUCAAAAAGCAUAAUGGAUCCAUCAACACAUCAACCAAUAUUAGAAGGCUUUUCUGAAAUUAGUUCUGCUCAUAAUGAAUUGACCACCUCCAAUGUUGGAUCCAUCAAUUUGCCUGAAGUUCCUCUUGAAGAAAGGAAUAUGUUGAAUGGAAAUGAUAGUGAGCAUAUAGAUGAUAUUUCUGGAAUACAUGUUUCUUCUGUCAAUCCACAACUUGAGGAUUUCAUUGAUAGGGCUCUUGAACUUGGAUCUAAUACUGCAUCUGGUAAGAAGUAUGCUCUUGAAACUUCUCAAGUUGAUUUGGAAGAACACAAUCAUGAAGACAGAAAGGCUAAAGUCAGAGAGAAACCUUAUACUAGCUACCAAAGUCAGAGAAAAAAAUGAACACAAAUUUUGCGCCUGUAACAAAAGAAAACACUUCAUUCCAUUUGUUUAGCAGUUUAGAUGUACACUUGUAGGUUCUGGCUUGCUUCAUAUGCUAGUGUAUUUGAUAAGUAGGACCAACAGGCAUAGGCGCAAAAACUGGGGUGUGAGAGUUUGGCAGUGCAAUACUUUUGUUUCAGUGCCACUAAACAAGACAAGAACAACCAAUCCUUCACUAAAUGAAAGAUGAAGUGCAUGAAAUCAUGUAGCCUGGUCUAUUUCUCAAUACUAGCUACCAAAGCAUUUUUUUUUUACAUCAGAUCUACUUCCUUUCACCUCAAUUAUAACACCCAAAAUCGAAUACCACAAUAAAAAAGUUGACCCCUCAGUUUGGAGCAUUUGAAGAACAAGUAUUAAGUCAAACCAUCCAAUUUUCAUACUUUUGGGCCUAUAGCGUCCCAAGAUUUUUCUUCACUAUCAAAAACAACUACAAAGAAUUCCUUAAAGCACUUCGAAUUGAAAUUACCAAGGUUUCAAAAUUAAAAAACAUCCUGCCCAAAAAAGGCAUCCACCUGGAACCUUUUAGAACAAAAUGAAAUUAUUAGAAUCAUUCCAUUUUCCUAGUUUUUAUACUACUGCAGCAAUGAAACAAACAUCUCAGGUGACAAAGAAGCCCUCUAACUACAAACACUAUGUUUUACUUACCAAACCAAAACAAUUGAAGUAUGCAAAUUCUACCAAAGAAAAAGAAAAAGUUAUAGCAUGAUAAAAUCAUUGUAUUUGUCAAAUAAUUCAAACUGAAAAGUAAUAGCAACUUCAAGAUCCAACAACAAAGCACAACAUAAAUUUGAAAUUGUUUGUUAUUAAUCAAAAACUCUUAAAAAUUAAAUACCCUUUUGGGUUGAUUUACCAUUGGCAGUCAAAGAAUUAUUCCAUUAAUACUUCUCUCAUGAGAAGCAACAACCCCUAAAGUUAGCUGCAAAGCAACUCAAUCAACCAUUAUGUUCAAUCAAUUAUUGAAAAUUUUAACUUAAAAGAAACUAAGCUUAGAACAGAAAAGGGAUGGGAUAUUAGUGACCAAAUAGUCACAUUAUAAUUGAACACAUUUAUAAUAUGUCAUACAUACCAGUAGAUGAAUACAAACAAAACCAAAUACUCAUGUUAUAAUUAAACACAUUAAUAAUGUUUCAUACAUACCAGUAGGUGAAUAUAAACCAAAAGUCAUACAUAUAAAAACGCCAAGACAGUAAUACCAACAUGGAAAACAACACCACAUGAAACAAUAACAACAAGAGCAACCGCUCCUUGGACUGUGGAUAGACUCCUACAACUCAAAAUUCCUAGUCGAAUCUGAAGGAUGUUCACUAUUGAGAGAAUUAGAAAAAUACAUCCCAAGAUUGAGCUAAAGAUGGCACAAAGCAUCACCUUUCGAAUAGACUUUCUAUUGAAGUGGCUUCUAAACUCUUUAUUUGAUUCAGCAGCAUUGACAAGUUUGAUCAUUAUCUUCAAGCCAUGAGCCACCAAUGAUGAUGUGAGAAAAAAUGCAAAGGAAAUGACCUCAAAGAACAUCAGGGUCCUGAUCGUGCUGAUAUUGGCAUCGCAGCCAAGACGACCAUCAAUGCUAUGUAGUCCUAUGGUGGUGAGGGAGAAUCCCAGAAAUGAGGAGACAACGUAUAAGGAGUUGAGACUCACAACGGUAUCAAGGGCAGCGAAUUGAACGUCAUCUCUUAUCUCCUCUCUUGAUUUUACUUGAAUAACCCUGAAAAUAAAAGUAAUAGGUUAAUUUAUAUUGAUUUAUAAAAGGAAGUAAAAAAAUGUUGAAAUUAAGAUAGAUACUGUUGGGCCUUCAUUUCUGAGACAGUCUUGUAGCAGGUGCUGUAAAUAAAAAACUGGUGAGAAUUAGUUAAGAAAAAGAGUGGAUAAAAGGCAAGAAAAAAUAUUUGCUAUUAUCAACUAUGUAAAACAAUAAAUUUUCAAUUAAAAAAAAUGAAAAAAUGAACAUAAAUUAUCAACGAGCAUCAUAGUUCAAGCCAGAUAAUCCCCGGACUGUAAAGUAAAUAGUGAUGAUCGAAAUUAAUAAUUAAUAAUUAUUUACAUCGAGGAAAAUUGUUCGCCGAAAUAUCGGAUAUCGGUCGGGCCCGAUAUUCGAACCCGAUUAUCGAUUUCCAGGAAUAUCGUUAAAAAAUCGGCAAAAUGGCCUAUAUUUCGACCGAUAAAUAGGCGAUAAAUCGCGAGUGGAGCUGACGGGCGGAGAACCCGGAAGAGAAUUUAAAAAAAUCGCCGAUAUUUCGGUAUUUUUACCGAUUUUUCGGGAAAUUUCCCGAUAUCUUACCAGUCCAGCCCGCACAGGAUACAAAAUCUGUCCAAUUUUUUUUUUAAAAAAAACAUAAAAUGCUAUUUGGGGUAAUCUGAUCAUGAUUUGCGGGCAAAGGUUGUGUUUUUCAGCCUGGCUCAAAAAUCGUGGAUUUAGGGUUCGUGAAAUUUAAAUCCAAUGGCACAACAGCAAAGAGACCCCUAAAACAGAUCCAGAAAACACAGGGAGCAAAAGAAAAGCAAUUUUUCUUGGUUUUCUUUGGGGGUUUUGCAUGGAUUUUCUCGGAAAUCAAACGACGAUGAAUUUUCCCGGAAAUCGAAUGGGGGUUGGAUUUUCUUGGGAAUCAAACGGGGGUUGCAAAAAAAAUAAUAAUAACAUGAUUAGUACCUGCGAGGAUUGAGAGUGGCAGAGGAAAAUAGGGCUUUUUUAGGGAUGCUCUCGCCUGGAGGACAACUUCAGGAAAGGCCUUCUUGAUGCGCGAGUGAGAGAAGUGUGUGCCUUUUGAUUUUUAUGUAGAGAUAAAAAGAAAAUAAACAAAUCAUGAGGACAAUUUUCCUCUCUGUAUAAAUAAUUAUUGAUUAUCGACCUUUAUUUUGAUUAUUAAAUAAAUUAAUAUUAAUAAAAAGGUUGUUACUAGUAUUUUAAAUAAAAUUUAAAAAAUUAAAUUUUAAAUAAAAUAUUUUAUAUAAAUUAAUUUAAUUUUUCAUUUAAAAAAUAUUUUAAUAAAAAUAUUUUUACCUAAAUGACAACUUCUUCUUAAAAAAUUAAUAAUAUUUCUUUCAAAUAUAUUAUAUAUAAUUCUAAAUUUUUAUUUAAUUUUACCACCAAAUCUUAUUAUUAUUUAAAUAUUAUUAAAUUUGGGAUUUGAAUGCAUUAAAUAUUCCAAUAAACAAGAUUUGAAAUUUAUGAUAUGAAAGAAGCAUAAAUCAUCAUAGUAAUUAUGAAAUUUGAAAUUAAUGAAAAUAUUCUAACAAACAAGAUUUAAAAUUUGUGGUAUGAAAGAAACAUUUUUUUUCCUUGAAGAUUUAAAAUUAAUGAAAAUAUUUCAUUAAUAUAUAUAUAUAUAUAUAUAUAUAUUCAUUGUACUUGUUAAUGGAAAAUAUUCUAACAAAAAGAAUAAGAAAUUUGUGAUAUGAAAGAAUAAUUUUUUUUUCUUGAAAUAAUAAAAUAUUUUACUAAAACAAUAUUUGAAAUUUGUGGUUGAGAAUAAAUGUUUUUUUUCCCUGAAAUUUGUAAUUAAUGGAAAUGUACGCAUAAAACACUCCAUAAGUGAAAAUAUUAGCAAAGGUUAGGUUAGAAAAAAUAAAUAAUUACUAUAAAAUUAUUGAUUCCUUAAAGUGAAAAUAAUCGCAUACUUUAGAAAACAUAAACAAUUACCAUAAAAUUAUUGCAAUGGUGAUUGUCGGGUAUGACCACUGCGCCACUCACCAACUUAUAUUAAAAAAUAGAUAAAUAUUUAAAUGCAUUAAAUAUAAUCAUUUUUAAAAUUAUAAAUAAUAAGAACCCCAUUAAUAUUUAGAUAUAAUUUAGGUUGAUUUUCCCUUUAAAAAAAUUAGAGCUAAAUAUAGAUACACUUAAAAUGUUAAUGGAAAAUAUUUAUUGUACUUAUUAAUGGAACAGGCCCAACUGCCCCCAUUUUCUCCCAUUUUAGUUGUAACCCUCGUCACACAUGGUUCAAAGUCGCGGUAUCGGUCACUAAUUUGGAGGGCCCCGAGGCGUAUCGGUUUGGUAUCGGGCGAUACGUAAAAUAAGUUAAUUAGAAAAUUCAAAAAAUUAUAAAAAUAUUAUAAAAAUAUUAUGUAAAUUAUAAGAAAAAUAUAUACAAUUAAAUAAGCUCAAAAAAUUAAUAAAAUAAAAUUGUCUCACAUUUAACAUUAUUUAAAUAGUUAUAAAAGUACCUGCUCAGAGUUAUUUAUGAUAAUGCUAAUAAAAGAAAAUUAUUUUAUUUCAAAUAUAAUAAUAUUUUUACUAACAAACAUACAAUACAAUAAUCAAUUCCAUGUUGAAUGACGAGGGAGUUCAAAAUCAUUAUCAUUAGUCCUACGACGAGUAUAUGAUUACUCCUCAAAAAGUGUUAUUUGAUAGCUUGUAAUUAACUCUUUUAAACACUUUUGAGUAGUAGUUAUUACCUUUUAACCCAAUUAACAUAUUAAGGAUCCUUGCAAUCAAUUUUAAUCAAAUUGUGUUAAGUUUUGGUGUUUUGAUAGCUUUUUGAUCAUCAAAGCAAUCAGAGAUUGAGGAGAGUCCUUAGGAAUCCAUGGCAAAGAUGUCCGGACAGGGCGUCCGGACACACCAUUGGAGAGCGAUGGAAAGUGGGUUGUAGCAAGGCUUGCUCACUAUAGCCAAUGUUUUCCAUCCGGACAACAUAUCCGGAUAGGAUAUGCUAUUGUUCGGAUGGAGUUGCUCCGGAUAACAUGGCGGUGCGUGUCCUCUUGGGAAAUCCGGAUGGAGUUGAUUCGGAUAUAGCCUUGCGCACUCCGUGUCAUCUGGGAGAGGGGUCCCUACACCUUGCACACGCAAACGGUCCCCCUUGCGCAACAUAGCUCAGUCCACCCGGGGAGGAAUUCCGUGCGCCGACAUUUUACAUCCGGAUAUCUCAUAACCGGAUGGGAGAGGAAGACGCUUCAACUUCUCCGGAUAGAUAUAUCCGGAUCUUCUGAUAGCGCUCAUCCGGAGAGCAUCUGCACCCGACAUUUCAAAUUACCCAGAUUUUGCACAGUGACGCGGUGUUCUCCUGAAGCUUCAUGAUAUUUUCGACCGACAUUUUAAGAUAUUUUGGGAUAUUUUGCUUUAGAUAUUUGAUGUCUAAAUCCCCAAACUCUCCUUGUAAUCCACCUAUCAUAGGAUUCCUUAGUCUUUAAGCAAGUACAAAAGGUGAAUAACCUCUUAUAUAUAGUGUGUAAUCUUCUUUACAAAGAUAUCUAUUAUGUAAUCAAAGGAAGAAAGAAAUAUAUUUCACAGAGCACUUGCUCUGUUUUUCCUUCAUAUAAUUGUUUUCUCGUUAGUUUUCUUACUAGCCAAACAAGCUUUGAGGAAGUUUCCUCAGAGAAUGAGUGGCUAGACUUUUAGUUCCUUGGAGUUAAGGUUGCCGGGAAAGGUUCCAAGUGCAUGAAUUAGUAGCUUUGUGGUUUCAGUCUUUAAUGAAGAGAAAGUGUGAUCCUUUAAUGAUUUCUAUGUUUUUAAUUAACUUAAAACACCUUCAAGUCACUUGAGCCAACACUUGGUAAGGCACGUGAUCUCCGUCCAUGGAGAUGCACUUGUUUAUCUCUUGCAAGCUUUUGGGAAGUGACUUAGAGGUAGGAUUUUCUAGAAUUACCAACACUUGGUAAGCUUUUGGACUCUAAGGAGACAUCCAUUAGUUAUCUCUUGCGAGCUUGAGAAGGGAAGUCCAAAGUUAAAGAUCACCUUGAAUGGCAAAUGUUAGGUGAAAGGCACGAGUCAUUGCAAGUUGCAUCAGUGAGAGGGAUUUAGUGUUUGAACUCAUAAAAGGGAAGCAUUUGUACAACACCGAUUAAAGAAUUGACUAUAUGUUAAUUCUCUAAUGCGAGGAAAUGAACCAAAUGACCAGAGCUUUGUUUUUGCAUAAGGAACCUCCCCUGUGAAUCUAAACCUCCAAGGAAUGUUUUUCUUCAUAAGUAAUUUCCAUUACUUUCUUUUUAGUUAACUUUAAACAAAACCUCAUUUAAACAAAGUUUGUGUUUUAUUUCUUAAGCUAACCUUGAAAUGAAAAAGCACCAAUUUACUUUGAAUUGGUAUCAGUUGAGAGUUGAAAACCCUUCCCAGUGAACGAUCCUAGAGCCAUUAUGCUAUAUUAGCUAAGCUAUCCUAAUGCAUGGUGAUAUAGAUUAUAAAUUUUGUUGAUUACUCUCUCAAUCAAAGAGCACCAGCUGGACAUGAAUCAGCUAAGACACCAAUUGGGAAUGAAUCAGUAUACAAAUUAGGGUGGCAAUUCCCGUAAUGAGGAUAUGGUUGAAAGAGUUGUUCAUAACUCGAAUAUGUUGAUUGAGAUGAUUGACUUGAUGAUCCAUAAUCAGGAAAAUAUGGUUUUGAAGGUUGUUCGGGAUCAACACUAUAUUGAUAGUAUCCAAAACCUCGACAAGCAAUGCUACUGCUAUCAGAAGAUUGAUCAUAUCCAUAUGAAUCACUAGCUUGUGUUCUAGUAUUUGAAUAUCCCUCUGGAUGCAUAAUUGGAAAUCGAUCAAAAUCAUUUCUACUAAAAGUACUAGAAGAGCUAUUACAGUCUCUAAAGGUGUGAUAUGAUCUACCAUCUACCCCUCUGAAAUACGGUCUUAAUCUCAUACCCAAAUUUUGCAAGUGCCCAUCGAUACAGUGAUAAUUUGAUUUCUGAUAAUCAUGCCCACUAGAAUAAUCAUCAUCACUAGGAAAUGUAGUUAGUCUUUCCAAAUACUUUCGUUGUUCCCAUAUCCCUAGUCGAUAUCCAUGAUCUGUAUCUUGCGUGGUAUAGUAAUUUUCACCUCCUUGUGCCCAUGACAUGCUAGGAUCUACUUGACUAACAUAACUGCCCCCAAUGCUACCAUCUCCUCUAGUACCCUCACCAAUGCCACCAACUCCUCUACUACCCCCACUAGUGCCACCACCCCGCCUAUUGCCCUCAUUGUCACCAUUAUCACUACUAGAAUUUAAAGAAAUUUUUCUAGAAGCCUUACCUUUACGGCGGGAAUCAACAUUUCUUUCUUGUGUAGCAUUACUUGUACGCGUACUAACUCUACAAUUUGUGGCACCAUUUUCUUCAUGAACUGUUUCUCUACCUUCUUCAUUAGAAGGAAGACCUUUAUCCAACCAAUCCAAAUUAUCAGAUGAUAAAAUAGGUUCCUCUCCUUCUCGUAUCCACUCAUCUAAUAUAUCAUCAUCAUUAAAGAUAUUAUUAAGAUCAAUUGGAUUGUAUAAAUCUUCAUUGUUUCAUUCUUGCAUCAAAUUCUUAACUCGAAGUCACAUAUUGUAGUGCACAUAAACUAACUUAUGCAACUUUUUUAUUGCCAAACGGUUGCGCAACUUUGUGUGAAUCAAUGAUCAUGUGCUCCAAUUUCUUUCACAACCUGAUGAAGAAUAAGUUUGGCUUAAAAUUUUAAUAGCAAUCUUUUGUAGAUGUGGACCUUCGUCGCCAUAGUUGUUCCACCAUUCAACUAUAAUAAAGAAAAUGCAUACUUAUUAAUCACUAUGAUAUAUUUAACAAAAAAUGAUGAUAAUUUCUUAUUUGUAAUAGAUGUAAAUGUAUUAAGUACUUGGAAGAGAUUGAUUUAUUGCUUUCUUUGUAAGUGCACUUCCAAAUUCUCAUCCACUGUCAACAAAUAAUUUCACCUACAUCAUUAACAUUUUUUUUUGUUAAUGCACAUUACAUAUACAAAAUGUAUUAUAUAAAGGUCACAAACUAUUAUUAUACCUUGUUAAUAGCUUUUGCUUGUCUAUUCAAAUCUAGCUUUAAACUCUUGAUAACCUCCUUUAAUCCAACUUUAAUUUCCAGAUGGUUGGAGAAGUGCUUUGAAUAUUGAAACAUUGGAUUUUAAAAAUAUGCCGGCAUAAGUUAAAUAAUAAUCGGUUUAUAAUAAUUUGUACUUGAAAAAAAUAAUAAAAAAUAUAUAAAUAAUUUUUUUAUUACCUGCAGCAUGCAAAUGGUUGUGCAAUUGACCUUCCCACUUUCUAUCAAUGACUUCUCAAUACUUUUCCCAUUGCUUGACCGAUGCCUUGAUAGUCAAUUUAUCUCUAUCCAUUGCUUCAUAAAUGAUUGAUACUGUGGACUUUUUAUCUUGAUCAACCAAUUUCAAUACUUUGACGAGAGGUUCCAUAAUGGUUUGAACUUCCCCUAUCUUCUUCAAAAAUCGAUCAGUUAAGAUAAGGUUGGAUACCUUAUCUCUUAGACCUUUUCUGUUCCUAUCUUUAUUGAAUUCACGCCACUUAUUUGUUGUGCACAUUCUCUUCAAAUCAGCCUCAUAACAUAUAAGACUCUCAAAUGAAAUGAAUUAAGUGGCAAAACGGGUUAUUCCCGACCUUAACAUAUUUAUAUCCUUGGUAAACACUUUCAUUAAAUUCACUACUUUCAAGUUAUUAUAAAUAAAUCUUGUGAUCAUCUUAGCUUGAUCUAAUGUCUCUUUAAUCUGUUUCAUGCUUGCAAUAUCUUCAAGCAUGAAAUCAAUACAGUGGGCUGCACAAAGAGACCAAAACAAAUGUUUCCACUUCUCCAUCAACAACAUACUGACUACUUUAAAACUUGUCUCAUUAUCAGUGACUACCUGAACAACAUUUUCCUUCCCAACCUCCUUUACAACUUAUCCAUAAGGGAAAAGAUGUAGUCUACUGUCUUAGGUAUAUUGGUAGUGUCAACUGAAGAAUGAUAUAUUAUACUUCUAUCACAAUAAAUCAUGAAAUUGAUGAUAGACUUUCAAGUCCUAGAACUCUAACCAUCACACAUGAUUGUGCACCCAUAUAUAAGUCAUUUAGCCUUCAAUGUUAUUAUAUAUACCUUAAGCUCUUGCAGCUCAUCAUCUAAAUAUGUAUUUCCAAUUUGGUAUCCAGUGGGACCCUUGAUGCUUGGACUUGUUUCUGCUAUGGUAUCAAUCAUUGAUUGAUAGUAAAGCCCACUGUCAGUUGCAUUAAAGAGUAUUGCAUUAAAGAAAAAUAAUUUAGAAAUAACUUUACAUACUUUCUUCACACCUUCAUUAGAAAACAAGUUUUUUAUUGAUUUCUGCUUUGAUGGGAACAUGUAGGGGUCAAUUCCUUUUGGAGGUAUGCUAGCUCAUUCUCUUACACUGAAGCUACAUGUCAAUCUGCGUUUAAUCCUAGCAUUAGAAGGUUGUGAAGAACUACCACCCUUCUGAUGUUUUUGUCUACCUUCUUCAAAAAUUCGACGAAUUUCUUUCAUUGCUUGUUUCAUUUGUCUUCUUUCAAAAUCAGACAUAGCAACUUCCUCAAUUUCAUCAUCAGAAUCACCCUCAUCAUUUUCAUAGAAAUUUUCUUUAUUUAAGGAACUCAAAAGUCGUUCAUUUUCUUUUUUUUCUUUAUUUGUGUUUUUUCUUUUAAAGUAUCAGACAUAUGUUGUCUAACACUAUAUGACACUUCUACCGAUACACGUGGACAUCCUUCCACUUGUCCGGAUAUAUGUGCGAUGUGUUGCUUUAAUCUUGUUAUACCGCUAUGUAUGACUUUCCCACAAUAUUUACACUUUGUGGUUCUUCUACUACCACCAACAAGUUCUACAUGCUCCCAAUUAAUAUAAUGUUUGAAAGUCAUUUUGAAAUAUUAAUCUAACCAUGUAUAAAAGGAAAACAACUUACUUUUCAAAUUAAAUAUAUAUAAACACAUUUAUAUAAGAAUUAUAAUAUUCAAUUUUCCACUCACUUAUAUGUUUCAUAUUGUUACCAUAUAAAAAUAAAUUCUACUAAAAAAACAAUAAACACGAUCUCACCUAAGUACAUCAUUUUUUGUCUUCCACUUAUUUAUAUGUUUUUUAAUUAAAAUAAAUAAUAGUUAAAUAAAUGAAUAUUUUUUUAAAAAAAAUCUUUUAAAAAAGUUUGUUUUGAUAAUUAUUGAUUUCCUAUUGUAAUUUAAUUGUAGAAUAUUAUAAAAUAAAAAAUCUACAUGAUCUAAUGAAGUAAAAUUGAUUCAAAUAUAAAUGUAAUUAACCAUGUAAAUGCAUAUCCUUCAUUCCGUAUUAUUAAAUCAUUUAUGAUUAUUUGAAAAAAAAAUUAUUAAUUUUAUAAUGUAAUUUAAUUUUGCAAUACUAUAAGAUAAAAACAUAAAUUAAAAAUACAAUAUCUAUACCAUAUAAACUUUACCAUAUAAAUGUACUUUAUAUUUCUAUACCAUACAAAAAUAAUUUAGUGAACCAAUUUAUUGUUUUGAUAAUUAUUGAUUUCCUAUUAUAAUUUAAUUGUAUAAUAUUAUAAAAUAAAAAAUCUACAUGAUAUAAUGAAGUAAAAUUGAUUCAAAUAUAAAUGUAAUUUACCAUCUAAAUGCAUACCCUUCAUUCUAUAUUAUUAAAUCAUUUAUGAUUAUUUGAAAAAAAAUUAAAUAAUUAUUAAUUUUCUAAUGUAAUUUAAUAUUGCAAUAUUAUAAGAUAAAAAUAUAAAUUAAAAAUACAAUAUAUAUAUAUAUAUACCAUAUAAAUUUUACCAUAUAAAUGUACUUUAUAUUUCUAUACCAUACAAAAAUAAUUUAGUGAACCAAUUUAUUUUUUGAUAAUUAUUGAUUUCCUAUUGUAAUUUAAUUGUAGAAUAUUAUAAAAUAAAAAAUCUACACGAUAUAAUGAAGUAAAAUUGAUUCAAAUAUAAAUGUAAUUUUUCUAUAUCAUGUAAAUACAUACCCUUGAUUCCGUAUUAUUAAAUCAUUUAUGAUUAUUUGAAAAAAAAUUGUUUUAAAUAAUUAUUAAUUUCCUAAUGUAAUUUAAUUUUGUAAUAUUAUAAGAUAAAAACAUAAAUUAAAAAUACAAUAUUUGUACCAUAUAAAUGUAUUUUAUAUUUUUGUACCAUACAAAAAGAAUUUAGUGAACCAAUUUAAUAUUAUAAGAUAAAAAAAAUCACAUAAUUUAAUAAAUUAAAAAUAUAAUCUCUAUAUAAAAUAAAAACAUUACAUAUAAAUAUAUUUAAUAUCAUCAUAAUAUUAUCAUUAUGAAUUCUCCAAUUUUAUAUAAAUAUUAUUUUCCAAUUCUUCAUUUUCGUAAAUGGUUUUUAAAAAUCAUUAUUGCGAGUCUCAAAGAAUUAUUACAUUUUGUAUAGGAUUUAUCAUUUUAUGCUUUUAAAAACAAAAAAUAACAAGUAUAUCCAAACCAUACCUUACUUCAUUUGGAUACAUUUUCUGUUUUUUUUUUUUAAAUAAAAACUUAUAUGUAAAAAGUAAGAACUUUCUUACUAUAUACUAAUCUUAUGUUGUUAAAAAUUAUUUUCAAAAAUUUUAAAGUGAGUUAUUAAAAACUAUUGGAUUGUCAAUAAAAGUUACCACCAUUUUCUAUUUUACAAAAGAAAAAAAAACGAAAAGGAAAGAUAGAUUAUAGCAACAACAAAGUGUGCUAAACCAUAUACACAGGGGUAUAUAUAUACUCAUAUGGUUCAUUAAGCACAACACGAUAGCAAAAAGGGGAAAAAGAGAUAUAAAUGUGCAUUUUGUAAUAAAAUAAUGAUUUCACAGCCAAACUGAGGCAAAAGAAAGGAAACAAAAUAAAAAUCGAUAUUCUUCCCUUUAUUACCUCUAUUAGUUAUUACCUGUUGGUUUGAAACCCUUGUCUUCUAUCUUCUUCCCCAACACCACGAAGACCGAUCUGCAAUGACUAUCUUUUUCCCCAACACACCACGAAGACCAUGAUCUGCAACCUCUCAGACUAUUGGACCUUUCCACUACUAUCAUACAACCACGAUCUGCUACUUUCUCACCGACAGCGCACCAAAGACGAAGAUUCUACACUCUGGCAAUGGUGGAUUUAAGGUUAAGUGAGUUAUUCUUCAAUCGAGGCUCUUUUUAAAGGCUUUUGAAAGGGUCACAGCAUUUACAGUGAGACCUGUAACAAAAUUUACGGUGAGAGCUUCUCUCUCUAAAAAUGUAGAGAGAGAAAAUAGAUGUUGGGGCUUUCUGAGGAGAAAGAAUGCUACGAAGAUGAAUCUUUAUAGCAAAAUGAGGAAAAAGAAUACUAAUAUGAAAACAAAUCCGAUUAGGAUGGCGAACACCAUCCACUAUCCGAUUAGGAUGAAUCCUUAUAGCAAAAUGAGGAGGAAGAAAAUAGACAUUAUCUCCCAUUUUUUCACACUCUUGUGUGAUUAAUUAGCCUCCUUACACUCAUUGUCUAGCUUGCCCUAUUUAAAUAUAAUUAUAUUUAAAUUAAUCAAUCAUUAAAAUGGUGAAAGGAUUUAACUAACACCAACCAACCAAAAAUCACUUAAUUGGUUAAUUAAGAAUGCGUUUAGUAGUGAUGUUUGUAGCUAACAUUAUUAAAAAAGAAGCAAAACUUGUGAGAAUUAGUAAAGAAAAUAAAAUAUAAUUAAAAAACUUGUGAGACACCUAAAAUAUAAUUAUAAAUAAAAAAUAAUACUUAAAUAUAAAAUAAACCUUUGCUAUGUAAGACAUGCAUUAUUUCACUUAUAUUUUACUUUUUUUUUUUAUUUAAUUCACGUUUUUGUGGUUCUUUUACUCUCUUUUUUUCUUUAUUUAUCUUAAAUAUUGUCAUUUUGGCACUGAUCAAUCUACUAAAUAUUAAAAAAAAAUCAUUAAUGUUGAGGCCUCACGUCCCUGGUGAUCCACGUAGUUGCCAAAUGGAUGGACACACGAUCUCAACUAAUAUAGGUUCUUGAUUCAGUCGUUCCACCUGCAAAAGGCGUCCAAACGGGGUGUCCGGACGUACCCUCCGAAGGUUUUGUCAGUCAUGGUUAGAGAGAUGAAGAUAAAUCAGUUGACCUUUUACUAGGUAUAGCAAGCUUACCUUCCUUUUUGUGUGAAGGUUCGUAUAUAUAACAUCAGAAGCUUUGUUCCCCUCUUUAAUGGUGGGGAGAUAUUUUGUGUUGUCAUGAUGACACUAGGUGGUGGCAGAGCCAUCAUCACCCUACGGGCGGCUGACAGAGAUCGUGGUAUGUGAUCAUGUGAAGUGAUCGUGGGAAGUGACUUGUUGUCACUUCAUCUUGUCCUUUCACUCUGCAGGUGGCGGAACGUGGGCCAUGACAGGCUGUUGUGAUAACGUGCAAGACUUGCUUACUUUAGUUAAUGAUCUGGGCAAUGUAUCCGGGUGGCCUAUGUUUAGUCGUCCGGAUGCAUUGCUUAUGAGUGUCGUGUGCUUCUCCUUGAGGUAGUCCGGAUAGGAGAAGCGCGUCACGUGUACUCUUGGGGAAAUCCGGAUGGGGUUAACCCGGAUGAGAAUGUGUGCCACGUGUCAUCAAGAGAUGUGUGCCACGUGUUAUCAGAGGGAGGAGUCCCUACAAUUAAUAUAGCAAAUGAUUAAUAAUAUUUUUUUUCCAUACCUUACAUAAAAAAAUUUAUCUUUAUUUAACUAUUAUAAAUUAUUAUUUUUGAUUGAAAGUUAAUUUUUUUUUUAAAUAUUCUAAAUGGUUUUUUAAUUAAAAUAAGGAAUAUGACCUGAGGGUGUUUUAGGAAGAAAGAUAGUGGGGUUCACCGAUUGGGACCCACAUCGCGGGACCCCUCCAAUGAGAAGCGAACUCACGUUGACUCCAAAGGAUUAAUUUUAUAUAUAUAUAUAUAUAUAUAUAUAUAUAUAUAUGGAAAGUCAUAAAUUUAGUGGAGUAGUAGGUUUCAUCAGACCUGUAAAAGUAGAGCUCCUCUCUAAAAAUGUAGAAAGGCUUGGGAAGUACGGCAUUUACAGUGAGAGCUGAGAAAACGAGCUUAGGAUAUAUGUGAGUUAAGUCAUGCAGGUGGAAAUUGCUGUUGAUUAACAGGAUACGGGUACACAAUGUGGGCUCUAUAUGGAAUUUUGUUGAUUAACCAUCAAGUUCAUUGGUUAAGUGCAAUGAGCUUUAAUGAGCUUUAGGAUAUUUAAACAAAUUCAGAUUGUUGCAGUCGUGAUAUGUUUUAUUUUGAAUGGAAAUAUCCCACAAGAAACCACUUAAAGAGAAGGAAAAAGCAGCUCACUUGACAAAAUUAUUUUUGUUAUACUAGCAUCAUAGAACAUGCCAAAUUAUGUUACUGGGUNNNNNNNNNNNNNNNNNNNNNNNNNNNNNNNNNNNNNNNNNNNNNNNNNNNNNNNNNNNNNNNNNNNNNNNNNNNNNNNNNNNNNNNNNNNNNNNNNNNNNNNNNNNNNNNNNNNNNNNNNNNNNNNNNNNNNNNNNNNNNNNNNNNNNNNNNNNNNNNNNNNNNNNNNNNNNNNNNNNNNNNNNNNNNNNNNNNNNNNNNNNNNNNNNNNNNNNNNNNNNNNNNNNNNNNNNNNNNNNNNNNNNNNNNNNNNNNNNNNNNNNNNNNNNNNNNNNNNNNNNNNNNNNNNNNNNNNNNNNNNNNNNNNNNNNNNNNNNNNNNNNNNNNNNNNNNNNNNNNNNNNNNNNNNNNNNNNNNNNNNNNNNNNNNNNNNNNNNNNNNNNNNNNNNNNNNNNNNNNNNNNNNNNNNNNNNNNNNNNNNNNNNNNNNNNNNNNNNNNNNNNNNNNNNNNNNNNNNNNNNNNNNNNNNNNNNNNNNNNNNNNNNNNNNNNNNNNNNNNNNNNNNNNNNNNNNNNNNNNNNNNNNNNNNNNNNNNNNNNNNNNNNNNNNNNNNNNNNNNNNNNNNNNNNNNNNNNNNNNNNNNNNNNNNNNNNNNNNNNNNNNNNNNNNNNNNNNNNNNNNNNNNNNNNNNNNNNNNNNNNNNNNNNNNNNNNNNNNNNNNNNNNNNNNNNNNNNNNNNNNNNNNNNNNNNNNNNNNNNNNNNNNNNNNNNNNNNNNNNNNNNNNNNNNNNNNNNNNNNNNNNNNNNNNNNNNNNNNNNNNNNNNNNNNNNNNNNNNNNGAUUUUGUCUUUCUCCAUCAUUUUUUAAUCUCUUAAACAAGGCUUACAUAGUCACCCUUGUAACCUAUUCAAUUAGAAUCCAUCUUUAGAGGCAAUUUUGACUGCUAAAUGUGAGGGUCAUUCUCCAUAGGAAUCAUCAUCUCCUUUUCAUAAGGAGAAGUUAUAUAUAUUUCACAUGGACAAGGAUUUAGAUGCAAGGUACAUGGCAGCCAUAGCAAUAUCCCAUUUCUCCCCCAGUUUAAACAGAGGCUCAUGCUCUUUGGCAAUCCCAUUCACUCUUAUAUCAUAAUUUGUUCCCCACUCCAAUGCCAAGCUCUUGUUAUCCUGUUUUACCCUUCCUUAAGUCAUUAGCAGCUUUUUUAAGAAUGGUAUGCCCCCCAUUGCCAAAGAAAUUGGUAAUUCAAAUCAUUCCUUUCUUUUUCCACAAAGAUCAAGAUGGCUUUACAGUUCCUGUGAGCCCAGAAACCAAUUACAGAGGAACCUAAUUCUAAAAUGAUUUGGCAUAUGAAAUGUUUAGUUUUACAUGAGCAGUGAUUUUUUUAUACGAUAUCCACUCAAUCUGCUGAGAACCCAAUUUGUUACCAAGAAGCAAUGAGGUUCCAGAAUCUUAAAGAUGGAUCAAAGGCAUGAGGCUCAAACAGAGCAUCUCCUCCUAUCAUUUUCUUCUUAAACCCCAAUGCUGAUUUUGGAAUUUUUAACAUAAUGCCAUUAUCAAUAUCAGAUAGAUUAUUAGGCUUUCAAAGUAAUCUUCUGUCAUAAGCUGCCCCUUCCCUUUCCAUAUCCCAAAUUAUAUUCUUUUGUUUUGAUUAUAAAAAACUAAUAUAUCAAUAUUUUAUAACCCACAAGAUUAAAAUAGCUUUGGAAGAUAAUUUGUCCUAUUACAAAGCAAUGGCAGAACCCGACAGAGAAUUCCUUAUGGUGAUUGAAGAAAGCAAUUAUACAAACUUGAGCAAAUGAUUAAAUCACCCCAAGGUUGCUGGGUCUUUAUCUUUUAGAAUUUGUAUGGGCUUUAACUUAUCAUAUAAAAAGUAAAAAAAGAAAAAAGAAAAAAGAAAAGUCAUGUAGAGGUUGAAACAAUGACACAAACAAUGGACAUUAGAUCAAAUGGUUUAGAUGGCAAGAAACAUUGGCCUAUCAGAGUAUAACUUAUGUGACUGGGGGUUUCUAUUGAAAAUGAGAAAUCAUAAUUAGGGGCAUUGAAAUUGUUUGCUGGAUAUAUACUUGUAAAAAUUAUGGUAUUUCUUAUGUCCCUUUCAAUCAUUUGCUCAAGUUUGUACAAUCUUUACCAUGUAUCUAAUAAUACAUAUAAAUGCAAGGAUGCUGCAUACUCCACAAAUCUUCUCUACAUCUGAACCACCUCCAUGUUUUUGCCUUUGCCUGUGCCUCCUCUCUACAUUCUACACACACAACUCUACCUUGUUAGCUAUGACCCUAUAAAGCUUUGAAAUUUUGAGAGUGCAGAUCUUGUGUAAUUAUUACACAAUCAAAUGAUAUAAAUGCUCAGAAACUUGAAAAUGAUAUGAUGAAUUUAAUGUGCAGUAGCAAAAUCCAAAGUUUUCUUACUUUUGGGUACAGUCUACUAUGAAUACAUAGUAGACCCUUUUCUCACCUCUUUGUGUUUGUGCUAUCCUUUCCUACAGAAUCACAGCCCCCACCAUUUACUCUCUCUUUCCACCAUUUAUGAGCUGCUACUUUCCUCAAAAGCACCCCUUCACUUUCUCCCACUUUACAUAUAAUCCUUUUUAAUAUUUUUGUUAGAAAAAAUUAUUUUCCUUUUCUUUUUAGACAUACCAAACCAACUGAAGUUUAUUUUAUUUUAUUUUAUUGUCUUUAAUUGAAAAUUGAAAAUUAGUCAUUAAUGUUGGUUGGUUUUUUGUACAGUAAUGAGUCAAAAUAUUGAGAUUAGUAGGGCAAAUUGGACUGACCCCAUCCAAAGAAAGCACUUUAUUGAUCUUUGUCUUCAAGAGGCAAACAAAGGCUUUAGAUCAGGUGGAGGUUUAAAGUCUAGUGCUUGGCCUCGAAUUGCUGAAGAGUUGGAGAAGUUACUUGGAAAACGUUAUACUUCAAAACAACUUAAGAAUGGGUGGGAUUACAUGAAAAGACAAUAUCUCAUUUGGAGUAAAAUGAUGACUAUGACAGGACAUGGUUACAACUCUGUAACCAAAACUUUUGAUUGGCCAGCUGAAAAAUGGGAAGAAUAUCUACAGGUAGUUUUUUUUUUAUGGAUUUGAGUGAAUUUUAAAAAUAAUUGUCUUAUAUAUAUAUAUAUAUGUAUAUAUGACUAAUUUGUUGUUUAUCUUGUAAAAUAGAAAUAUCCAGAAGCUAAACAAUUCCGUUUUAAACCAUUAGCAAAUGUGGAAGAAUUAGAGGCAUUGUUUGGAGGAGUGUUAGCUACUAGGUCUAAAAAUUGGAGCUCUGGGGGAGUGAUAGCUUCUGGGGCUGAGGAAUCAUCAACACAUUCUACAUCUAUGCCUAGUGAAACUUCAGUUAGUUUAGAAGAAGAUGAGGAUUUGCCAAGAAAUACUAAUGAUGAAACAGAAGGUUCUAAGAAAAAACAGAAGAAAGGAAAGAAAGAGCAAACUCAAGAAGAAAUGUAUAGAAUAGUGAAUGUGUUGGAGAAUUUUGAAGGAUCCACAGUCAAAGAAUGCAUGAAGAUUUUGAAGAGGCUUUUGACUUAUGAGGAUCCAUUAUACUAUGUAGCAAUUAAUGCAUUUUGCAAGAAGAAAGAGUACAGAGAGGUGUGGAUGGAGAUGGAAAGUGACGAAGAGCGAAUGAGAUGGAUUCAAGCUUGCGAAAAUAACUUUUUAAAUAUUUGUUUUAGAUUUGUGGAAUGCCUAGGGUAUAUGACUUAUAUGAUGAUUUUAAUUUGGUACUUUUGGUUUGUUUGUUUUGGAUAUUUGAUACAUUUAAACUUAUGUUUUUAUUUCAUAACUAUUUUUUUUUUAUAAUAGAUAUUCUUAUGGAGAAUCCUUCACAUCACUCAAAUAGUUCAAGUUCAUCAUCAUCAAGUGAAGAUGAAGAUACAAAGUUAGAAGUGACAAGAGUUUAAAAAGAAGAUUGGUUGUGUUGUUGCUUAAAUUAUUGAGUGACUCAUCCAUUAAUAAGGAACGAGUCUCUACUUCAUCAUUUACAGGUUCACUUUUCAUUCAAGAGCUUUUAAAUGGUUCAUCUAGCACAUGUUAUGAACUAAUGCGGAUGGAAAAACAUGGAUUUAUUUCUCUAUGUCACAUGUUUCGAGAAAAAGGAUGGCUUGUUGACAGUAAACAUUUGAAUGUUGAAGAGAAAAUGACCAUGUUUCUUAUGACUAUUAGUCAUAAUCUUCGGAAUCGAUUGAUUAAGAAUAGAUUCCAACACUCAAGUCAAACAAUUCAUAAAUACUUCCAUGAGGUUUUAGUGGCCAUGGUGAAUUUCUCAAAAGAGAUGAUUACUCCUCCAUCAUUCAAUGAUAGUUCAAAUGGUAUCUCCAAUCGUCGGCUAAGACAAAUUUUUAAGGUACAUUAUUUUUUAUUUUUAAUUAUUCAUAUCAUAUUUGUAUUAUUCUCAUAUAAAAAUAAUUAUUUAUAUUUUAAAGAAUUAUUACCAUGUAGGAUGUUGUUGGUGCAAUUGAUGGAACUCUUAUCCAUGCAUGUAUUCCCACUAAUCAACAAGUACCUUAUCGAGGUCGUGGGAGAAGAGAGUGUUUUCAAAAUGUUAUGGCACUUUGUGAUUUUGACAUGAUAUUUAGGUUUGUUGUUGUUGGAUGGGAAGGAACAACUCAUGAUUCAAGAGUCUUGACAGAAACUAUUCGUAACCCGCAACAUAAUUUUCCAAUGCCCCCAUCAGGUAAAUAUUUUAUUUUCAUUUUAGUUAAUAUAAUUUGUAUUUAUUCAUUAUAAUAAUCAACUUAAUCCUUUUUUUUUUCAGAAAAAUAUUAUUUAGUAGAUGCAGCAUACACAUACAGUCGAGGUUUUAUGGCACCAUAUCGUAAUGUGCGCUAUUGGUUGAGUGAUUUUCGUAGUGGUGGUAAAGCUGUAGGAAAAGAGGAGAUAUUCAACCAAUGUCAUGCAAGAUUAAGAAAUGUCAUUGAACGUGCUUUUGGUGUUGUUAAGGCGCGUUUUCCAAUCUUGAAGAGAAUGGCACCUUAUUCGUUUACUACUCAAACAAAAAUUGUCAUGACAUGCUUCUCCAUUCACAAUUUUCUUCGACAAAUCUCAGUUGCGGAUAGAUUAUUUUCUGAAUAUGACAAUGAAGUGGAAUUGGAAAGUGACAAUGCCAAUCAAAAUCAAAACUCAACUACAAGCAGUUUUUUUGCAGCAUCUGAUCAAGAAUUCAUGCAACAAUUCCGAAACCAAAUCACAAAUGAACUCUUUCAAGUGUUUAGUUAACUUGUCAUUUUUAGCUUUUUACCAUUGUAAGAAAUGCAAUGUUUAGAUAUUAGCAUAAAAUGUGAUGUCUUCGGAUAUUUGAAAAUAUGUACUUGAAUUGUUAUGUUUUUUCUUUAAUUUGAUUUAGGUUUUUAUCAAUCCAUUGUUUUUCAUAUUAUUAAGUUUAAAUAUUUUAUUUUAAUUAUAUAAAAAAUAAAUAUAUUAAUUAUUUUUUGUAAGAAUGAUAAUGAUAAAUUAUUUAUUAUAAAAAAUUUAUUAUUUGGAACUUUUUAGAAAUAAGUUAAAUUAUGUUUUUUUUAAUACAUUAAAAUAUUAAGAUAUUGGUUUUCAGCAUAAAAAAAAAAAAAAAACUUAAUACUUAAUAGAAAUAAAAUUUUAAAAAAACAAACAACUUAAUGUUUAAUGCUAUUAAGCAUUAUUUAGUAUUAAGUUAAAAAAAAGUUCUAUUUAGAAUUAAGCCAAAAAAACAAAUGCCACCUAAGUGCCGGCCUUUUGAUUGGAUGUACAUGUACAUAUAUGAUAUAUAUAUAUAUUUAUAUCUAUAUAUAUACACAUGUAGGGUCAUCUACAAAAUAUGGACUUUGAACUGCAACUUCUUACAUAAAAUUACCUCCCAGCAGGUUUAGCAGAUUGUCAUUGUGUUUUAACUUUCUUCCUUAAAACAAUCUUUUGCAUCUUAUAUGAAUGUAGAUCUGUACAUCAUGAUAUAAAAUAACCUCUGUUUGUAAGCCAGUAAGUGACUGCAUUCUGUUUUGGUCUUCUCCUCUAUGAAAAGUGAACAAUGUUCGGAAAAAAUUAAGGUUAUAUUUUGUUUUAGUAGAAAAAAAAAAUAUUAAGAAAAAUAGUUUUUCUAUGUCCGAUUUAUAUAAAAUAAAAUUAAAUAUAAUUAAAAUAAAUUUAAAAUUUAUAUAUUUUUAAAUUAUUUAAUUUUACUAUUCAAAGAAAAUGUAUGAACUAAUUUAUUAAAUUAAAUUUUUUUUUCUUUUUUUCUAUUUUCUUUUUUUCAUAUUUUCUCUCAAAUUUUUUGAUAAUCAACUAUAGCUUAAAAAUAUUGAGUUUUUUUUUUCUUUGAAUGAAAUAUUAAAGCAAGAUGUUAUGAUAGUAUAAUAUUCAUUCAAGAUUUUUUUUAGAUGGUUUAUUAAAAAUGAAUCACUUUUUAAGGAUUAUUAAAAUAAUAUGUUUUUAAAAAUCAUUUCCAUUUUUCAAACUAACUUCGCCAAUACUCCAACUCAACAAAACGACAUCGUCUUGCUGGGACAUGGAAAACGACGUCGCUGCAUGCCGGAACUCAAAAUGGAUUGUGUUCUACUCGUUGCCAAACACCCUGGAAAUCAGACAUAAGUAUUCCGAUACCAUCUUGUCCAACCUCAAAUCAUUUCGCUGAAAACAUCGUCCCUCCGAACACGCACAAACUCUGAUACUGCGAAUAAGAAAGUUGAAAAUGGUGAAGGGCGGCCGAAUGAACACGGCUGACGUGGCCGCGGAGAUCAAGUGCUUGCGACGAUUAAUCGGCAUGCGUUGUGCCAACGUCUACGAUCUCUCUCCCAAAGUACUUCUCAAUCCACUCUGCCAAACCCUAAUUUAAUUGCAAUCCUCUGUUUGUUAUUUUCCUUCUAAACAAACAUUUAAUUUUUACCUCUUCAUUAUUUUUCUUGUUUUUGGGAUAAUUGUGUGUUUGCUUGUUCAUUUACAUUGCUGAUCACCACCUGUUUGAUGAAUAAUCUGAGUUGAACGGGCCUUUGUAAUGGUUUUUGUGAAUUAAUUGAGUUGGAUUGUUGUGUUGAUUUCGCUAUUUACAAUUUUUAUUUUUAUUUUUGCCAGACUUAUAUGUUUAAGUUUAUGAACAGUAGUGGCGUCACUGAAUCCGGAGGGAGCGAGAAGGUUUUGUUGUUAAUGAAAAGUGGUGUUAGAUUGCAUACCACUGCAUAUGUUCGGUAAGAUUUUCCCCAAUUCGAAAAAAUAAAAGUUAGGCCUAAUCUUGCCCAACCUUUCCUUCAGUUUUGUUGCCUGGAAAACCUUGGAAAAUAAAAUGAAAUAAAUUUGAAUUCAAGUUUUCUGUUUUAUGCUUCGAGAGGGUUUUAUAAGGUAUACUUCACUGAGGUUUUAUGUUAACUUGGGACCCAAGUAAUGAAAAACUUUUAAAGUUGACAAUGUUUUCUAGCCUUUGUUCAGCAACCAAACAGAGCAAAAGGAUAGGAAAAGAGUAGAAUGGCACUGUUUUUAAUACCACAAGUUUUUGCUUACUGUUCAUAUUUUCUCACAUCUAUGGGGACAAAAGUAUGACUCCAUCUGGGUUUACACUUAAAUUAAGAAAGCACAUAUGCACAAGAAGGCUAGAGGAUGUGCGGCAGCUGGGAUAUGAUCGGGUAUUACUCCAGGGGAUGUUUGUUUAUGCUUGUCAUUUUCUCUAACUUAUGUAGUGUAUAUUGACUGUGUUGUUUCUGAUCAUGAUUUUUUUUGUUUAACUAUUUUUUUCUCUUUUUCAGGUCAUCCUUUUUCAAUUUGGACUUGGUGCCAAUGCACACUAUGUUAUAUUGGAGCUGUGUGCCCAAGGAAACAUUCUCCUUACAGAUUCUGAGUUUAUGGUCAUGACUCUUCUUGGAUCACACAGGUUAGCAGUCCAUCUCUCAUGUUGCAUUUUUUUUUGCUCCUUUAUGCACAUAUUUGUAUACAAGCACAACUAUUUUUUUUUAGCAAGAACUUUUGUCCUUCUCUGCCAAUUCAUGUGUAUUAGCUGUUGAGUUUAGCACAUACAUCAUGGUAUGAUGAAAUUAUUGAUGUUCAUGCUAUGAUCUUAUUGGUAUCACUGGUGAAAGAGUGAAACCCUCGAUAAAUUUCAUUUAGAAGAAUUAAACAAAACAUCAAAUAAAAAAGGGUUAUAUAUACUGUAUCCCCUUGACCUUGAGGCAUUUCGUACUUUGCCUCCUCACAUUCAAAUACCAAAACUUGUCCUCAAAUUUGCUAAACAGUUUGGACCAUGUUUAUUUUAUCUAAUUAAAAAACCCAAAUGCACUGCAAUUAAGUGACUAUUAUACUCUUACAUUUCGAGUCUUAAUCCCUUUUAGUGAUUAUACAUCAAAUUUUGGGUCAAGUGCGGUACAUGGGAGUUUUUUGUUAAUGAAAUAAACAUAUCCAAGAAAACAUUUGGGGCGGCAAUUGUUGGAUUUUGAACGGGAGAGAGUAAACUGUGAAAGCCCUAAAGCUGUAGCAGAAAAAGUGCAUUAAGCGAAUAAAAAAACCAUUUAGAAGAACCACUUUUGAAGGAAAAUUAGAGGCUGAGUGCUCUGGAAAAAUAGGGGGAGAAUAAUUGCUCAAAAUCCCUCUCUCUCUAUGUGUGCGUAGUUUAAACAAGAAAGUAAAGGAGAGCAAGGAGCAGCUUGUGUCUAAAAUCUCAUCUGUUUGAACAGGAGGAAAGAGCUUAUGAGGUGGCCAAUUUUCUUUGGCUUGCCCAAGGCAGAUCGCCUUUUAGCAUCCUUGUGCAUGUAAAUAUCCGUAGUCUUAACACCCUAUUCCCAUAUUCAACUUCUUUAACUAGCUACCAUCAAUCACAUGUAUGCAAUGGGUAUAGGAUGUGUUGAUGGAUUGGGGUUGCACAAAACCUCAAUCCAAGCCCAACUUGAACUUUUCUAAUAUGAGUCAAAGCGUAGAUGCAAAGGAAGUUGCCCAAGAACAACCACUGCUUGAAUUGGCUUGUGUUUAACCCUUCCAAGUUGAGACCAUGUUUGCUAGCUCCUAAUGGCCUUGAAGAUUUCCUUCCUUAACAGGGUAAGUUUUUUGCUUAAAUGUCUAUAGAAUUGAAUUUUAGCUACAUGAUAACAAGUUAUUUACAACAGAGAUGAUGAUAAAGGAGUUGCAAUCAUAUCACGCCAUUGGUAUCCAGUUGAAAUUUGUCGAGUUUUUGAGUGUACUACCACUACUAAGUUGCAAGCAGCCCUUACAUCUCCCAAGGAAUCUGAGAGCAAUGAAGCAGUCGAGGCCAGUUGAGGGUGGAAAUAAAGUGUCUGAUGCACCUAGAGAGAAGCAGGGUAACCGCAAAGGUGCGAAGUCAUCUGAGCCAAGCAAAAAUACUAAUGAUGGUGCUCGUGCCAAGCAAGCGACCUUGAAGACUGUUCUUGGAGAGGCACUGGGUUAUGGGCCUGCACUUUCUGAGCAUAUUAUUUUGGAUGCUGGUCUGAUUCCAAACACAAAAGUUACUAAGGAUAGCAAAUUUGACUUUGAUACAAUUCAGCGUUUAGCCCAAUCUGUUGCUAAGUUUGAGAAUUGGCUAGAAGAUGUUAUCUUAGGUGAUCAAGUUCCUGAAGGUUAUAUUUUAAUGCAGAAUAAAAUUUUUGGAAAGGACUGCCGCCCAUCUCAACCAGAUCGUGGUAGCCAGGUUGUGGAUGUGUUUUUUUUAAAUUUAUGUAUGCUAAUCUAGAGCAGAACUGUCAUUUCCUUCCCUUUUUGCUUUGAUAUGAUAUAAUCAAGUUCCACAUAUGUGUGAAUGUAAACAUGUUUGUUUGGUUUACCAUUAGAAUAGUGUUAUUCAUUAUGUGUUUUAAUACCCUUUGCAGAUCUAUGAUGAAUUCUGCCCAAUUUUAUUGAACCAGUUCAAAUCAAGGGAGUUUGUAAAAUUUGAGACUUUUGAUGCUGCAUCGGAUGAGUUCUACAGUAAAAUUGAGGGUCAACGAUCAGAACAACAACAGAAGGCAAAAGAGGUCUCUGCCAUGCAGAAACUCAGUAAAAUAUGCAUGGAUCAGGUCUUUAAAUUAUUGUCUGAUAUUUGAAGCCAAUAGAAUCAUUUCCUUCUUUUAAGAAGAGUGGUUUCACAUACUUUCUAGCCUUUCAGCUAGUUGCUUGCUUGCAACUAUGUUAUAGUGACUUGGGCUGCAAGCAAUGAGAAUCUAGCCAAUGCAUCAGUGGUUGUAUGGGCAUGCUAUGGUCAUUCUCUCUUUACAUGUCAAAAGGUUCUCUGCUAGAAAUAUUAUUCAGUAUUUUAUGAUCAUUGCCAUGUGUUAUAGUCUUUCAACUUGAUGCUGUAGGAAAAUCGUGUGCAUACACUGAAGAAAGAGGAUGACCGCUGCAUUAAAAUGGCAGAAUUGAUAGAAUAUAACCUAGAAGAUGUUGAUGCUGCCAUAUUAGCUGUCCGUGUUGCUUUGGCAAAUGGUAUGAAUUGGGAGGAUCUUGCCCGAAUGGUGAAAGAAAAGAAAAAAUCUGGAAAUCCUGUAGCUGGCCUCAUUGACAAGCUUUAUCUUGAGAGAAAUUGCAUGACACUGCUGUUGAGUAACAACCUUGAUGAAAUGGAUGAUGAUGAAAAGACACUUCAUGUGGAUAAGGUGUGGUGGCAUGAUGCAAUUUUUUUUUUUUUUUUGCAUCUUACUGCGUCAUAAUAACAAAACUGCUUAUGUUUACUUCCAUUUGAAGGCAUUCAUGCAGAUUCUAAAUUACCAUUAAGCUUAUCUUGUUGGAUGUGACAUAUGCUAAUUUCCACUCUGGUUCACACCUGUCUGAUCAAACAAAUUACAGAUCAUGUAAAGCCCAUAUCUUUAUUCUUCAAACUUGUCAUCUCUUUUCUUUUCACUUUCUAGGUAGAAGUUGAUUUGGCACUUUCAGCACACGCCAAUGCUCGGCAGUGGUAUGAACAGAAGAAAAGGCAGGAAAACAAGCGGGAAAAGACUAUUAUAGCUCAUGAAAAGCUUUUAAAGCUGCUGAAAAGAAGACUUGCAUCCAGCUUUCACAGGUAGCUGAACAUUGCAGUUGUUUUUCCCCUUUGAUUUAUUUUGUACUGAUGCUAUUUUCAAAUUUUUGAAUCAUUAAAUGCAGCUGGUCCUGAGUUAUUGGCCCUUGGUAUUAUGUUACAUGUGUGCUGUGAGGAGAGUUAGUACUUAACCAUAUCUUUGCUGAACAUUCACAGGAAUGGAUGAUUAGGACCUAAGUUGAAUGUUUAUUAGCAUCUAGUUUGAUUUAAAUGAUUUGAACAACAUGGUACCCUUUGUAUACUUCCUGUGUACCUUGUUGCGUUCUUUCUUUGGCACGUGUUUAUAAUAUCUCACCAUUACUUAUAAAAAAACUAACAACACACUUGCCUCUCAGCACCAGAAGAAUUAUGAAGCAUUAUUUUAGUUUUGUUUUUAAUUAUUGGUUGAGCUUAAAUGAACCAUUAAGUUGUCUUUUCUCAAUGGUCAAGUGUCUGAAUUUUCUCAUCUAUAAUUGUGCUGGAAAAAACCGUUGCCACAAUUUCACACAUGUGAAAAGUUAACUGGUUUGAGAAAUUUAAUUGGUUCAUCAGCAGUAAGAAUUAUUUUGUUAUCAGUGGACGUGAUGCUCAACUGAACGAGAUGAUUGUCAAGCGUUAUAUGUCAAAAGGGGACCUAUAAGUAGAUUUUCUCCAUUAAUAAACAAAUUAACUCUUAAGAAGAGAAAAAGGGCAAAAACCUUUAUCUGUAUGGGGAAUAUAUCAAGGGGAAAAAAAGAGACGAAAAGGAAAGUGGCACUGGAAGUUAAGAGAGUUAAGGAGGAAAAAAAUGAGGCCCAAUUCCACCCAUUACUAUGCCACAAAAAAAGAAGUUUCAGAUUCAUACAUUUCAAAUCAACCAACAACAACUCCUCAUCAACAUUUUUGUUUUUCCAAAGGCACCUAAACACCUGUUGCAGAAUACUACUCCACUACUCUUCCUCAUAACUCCUAUGACAUGUUAAUCCAACAUUGACUCUCUAUAAGUAGAUAUUAUUUUAUAAAAUCUCUUUCAAAUGUUUCUGACAGAAGGAUCCUUUAAUGAUUUACACAAAAGUUUAACAUGUCUUAGGCCAAAUAUUCAACCAAUAAAAAGAUUUAUUGUGCAUAUUCAUUAAAUAUUGGUAAGUGAUAGUCUGUUAUUUGGUUUUGUUUUUUGUGUCUGUUGUUGUAGUACUUAUUUUAUUUUAGUUUGGUAUUUUAUUUUAUUUUUUAUUUUUUAUUGGACACUUUCUUUAGAUGAGAAGACUCAGAAGAGUUGUGUAAAGACUUCGAAUUUCCAACUUAUUGUAAUACAGUCAUCAGCAUUUUGGUGAAAGUAUUUCUGAAGCUUAUAGGCUUUAGUUAUCUUUCUAAUGCCAGGUAAUUUCUUCUUCAUCUAUUUACUUUGUGGAAACCACCUCAGUCACACUUAUGUAUCUUAUUCCCAUACCUCUGCAAUUUGAGAUUUAAUAGACCUGUUUCUCCUAUUAACAUCAGGGGAGGCCUUUUCUGCUUUAUGAAUUAAUCUUCAAAAAUGUUGAUUGUAAGUUGUACUUUCUUGUCUCUUUUCAUGUCAAUCAUGUACAUUGGUAGAUGUUAUAGUUGAAGAAUAGGGUUUCACGAGAAUAAUUUUCUUUCAUUGAGAUUAUUCUUUUAUAGAGUUUACAACAUAUACAAAUCCUUCAAAUUAGGAAACUAAAUCACUGAUUAAAAGGAAAGAAUAACUCCUAACAAUUACUUUCCUAAAAAUACAAAGAUUGACAACUAAUAAAUAACUUACAACUUUACAAAAUUAUUUCUUUCCAUAUCAGUUUCGGUUUUCCAACACUCCUCCUCAAGCUGGCUUAAAGAUAUCUUCCAUAGCCAGCUUGCCAACUAGAAAAUCAAAUUGCCUUUUUUGUAGUCCUUUGGUGAAGACAUCAAUCACUUGUUCCUCAGUAGGGAUAUAGGUCAUACAAACCAAUCCGUUGUCUAUCUUCUCUUUAAUGAAAUGCUUGUCCACUUCCACAUGUUUGGUGCGGUCAUGGAGAACCGGAUUGUGAGCUACUAAAAUUGUUGCCUUGUUGUCACAAUACAACUUCAUAGGAGAUGGACCUGUCAUCUUUAACUCUUCCAGUAAUCUUCUUAUCCACAUAAUCUCACAAAUACCAUGAGCUACAACUCUAAACUCAGCCUCAGCACUACUUUUAGCAACCAUGUUUUGUUUUUUACUUCGCCACGUGACCAAGUUGUCAUCUACAAAUGAACAGUACCCAGAGGUGGACCUUCGAUCCACUAUGCUUCCAGCCCAGUCUGCAUCGGUGUAGGUUUCAAUUUGUAGGUGUCCUUGUGACUUGAACAAAAGACCUCUACAUGGUGUCCUCUUUAGAUACCUUAGAAUCUUGUAAACAACUUCAAAAUGCUCUGGUCUAGGCGCAUGCAUAAACUAGCUAACCAUACUCACUGAGAAUGCUAUGUCAGGGCGUGUAUGGGAUAGGUAAAUCAAUCUCCCAACAAGUCUCUGAUAACGAUUCUGGUCCUUCACAUUCUUGGUUUUUGUAGGCUGCAGUUUUACAUUCGGCUCUAUAGGUGUUUCAGCAGGCUUACAUCCUAACAUACUUGUCUCAUCAAGAAGAUCAAGAACAUACUUCCGUUGAUUUACAAAGAUACCUUCUUUGGACCUAGCAAACUCCAUCCCAAGAAAGUAUUUUAAUGCCCCCAGGUCCUUAAUCUCAAAUUCCUCAGCAAGUUUCCCCUUCAGCUUCUCUAGUUCAUUGCAAUCAUCCCCAGUUAACACAAUAUCGUCAACAUACACAAUUAAGAUGACUACUUUACCUUCAUUUAAAUGUUUGUAGAAUAUCGUGAUCUGGUUGACUUUGAGUAUAUCCAUAAUGCUUUAUUACUUUGCCAAAGCACUCAAACCAAGCUCUAGGCGACUGCUUAAGUCCGUAUAAAGACUUCUUCAAUUUGCACACUUUCCCAACUCCAAAACUUUCUUCAAAACCUGGUGGAGGACUCAUGAACGCUUCCUCCUCUAGGUCUCCAUUAAGAAAGACAUUUUUAACAUCCAAUUGGUGUAAGGGCCAAUUGGAAUUUACUGCAAGGGACAACAAAACUCUAAUUGAGUUUAUUUUAGCUACGGGGGCGAAAGUCUCUUGGUAGUCUAUCCCAUAGGUUUGAGUAAAACCAUUUGCCACAAGUCUGGCUUUGUAUCUCUCAACACUUUUAUCUGCUUUACUCUUUAUUGUAAACACCCAUUUGCGCCCUACAACUUCUUUUUCCCUUUGUAAAUCUACAACCUCCCAAGUGCCAUUCUUUUUUAAGGCACUCGUUUCCUCAAACAUUGCCAAUUUGCAACUCGGUUCAUCUAGUGCUACUUGAAUAUUUUUAGGUACCACAAGUUUUGAAAUAUUUGUAGUGAAUACUCUAUAGUUGUCAGAAAGGUUACUAUAGGAGAUAUAUUUGGCAAUGGGAUGUUUAGUGCAAGCUCGGGUUCCCUUUCUAAGAGCAAUAGGGAGAUCAAUGUCAAGGUCCUGUGCAGGAACAAUUGGGGCUAAUCCUAAACCGGGUUUGGGUGCAAAUAUUUCUGGACUUGGACCAAAGUGUGAUGGUAAACUUAGAUCAGUAACAGAAGAAGAAGAAGCAUGUAUAUGAGUAGGAAUAGAAGAAGGGUUACCUGAGACAUUUAGAGAGCCAUUGCCUAGGGCUUUCGGUUGACCAUGUGCUGGGAUGAUCGGCUGGUCUUUACUUCUUCCAGGGACUUUUUUCCUUGAAUAAACCACAGGCUCAAGAUUGUUUCUAUUUUUUUCAUUCGUAGUAUUUCUUCUUCUGACAGACCAAUUUCAGAUUCGGAUUCAAUUGGCUUAGUUUCUUUAUUUUCUUUUUCAAGAGAGAUAUCAAGAAUUACACUAGGCAAAGGUUCAACAAUUUCCCAAAAAUUUGGUUCCACUAAUUUCUCCCCUUGAAGUAAAUUUUUGGUAAAAUAUGAGACAUUUUCCAUAAAGGAAACAUCCAUAGUUGUGUAAAAACGUUUUGUAAGGGGAUUAAAACAUUUGUAACCCUUUUUAUUAGGAGUAUAUCCUACAAAAACGCAUUUUUCUGCUCUUUGGUCUAACUUAGAUCUUGACCUUUUUGGAAUGUGUAUAUAUGCAGUGCAACCAAAUAUUUUCAAGGGUAAUUCAGAAUUAAUUUGAGAUUCUGGAAAUACCUUUUUCAAGCACUCCAAAGGAGUGGUAUACUGCAAAAAUUUUGUAGGCAGCCUGUUGAUUAGAUAUGAAGCAAUUAGUAUGACAUCCCCUCAUAAGUAUUUUGGAAUAUUCAUGUAAAACAUCAUAGCCCGUGCUACUUCUAACAAGUGUUUAUUUUUACGUUCAGCUAUUCCAUUCUGUUCAGGGGUAUCAGAACACGAGGAUUGAUGUAAAAUUCCUUUCUCAUUUGAAAAGGUUUCCAAAACUUUAUUAAAGUACUCAGUCCCAUUAUCAGAUGUCAAAAUACUGAUUUUUGUUUGAAAUUGGUUUUCAAUUAUUCUGUAAAAUUCUUUAAAAAUCCUUUCGACUUCAGAUUUUUCCCUCAUUAAAUAUACCCAACAAAGACGUGUAUGGUCGUCUAUAAAGGUCACAAACCAUUUUUUUCCUGAAAUUGUGGUUACUUUUGAAGGUCCCCAAACAUCACUGUGAAAAAGAUAAAAUGGUUUUGAUGUAUAGUAGGGUUUUGGAAUGUAAGUUUUUUGUUGGCUCUUUGCCAAUAAACAACUUUCACAUUGAAAUGAUAAAGGAUCAACCUUUUGAAAUAACACUGGAAAUAAAUGUUUUAAAUAAGAGAAACUAGGAUGACCUAAUUUGCAAUGCCAAACCAUUAUUUGAUCACGAACAGAAAGAGAACUAAUACUACUUGGUUCUUGAGCAAUUUUAUUACUAGGUAAAUUAUCCUCGAAAUAAUAGAGACCAUUGAUUAUCCUAGCACUGCCAAUCGUCUUCCCUGAGCUCUGGUCUUGAAAAAUACAAUGGGAUUCAUAGAAGAUAACACAACAAUUAGAAUCUCUAGAUAAUUUGCUAAUAGACAAGAGAUUACAAGUAAGUUUAGGAACAUGGAGAACAUAUUUAAGAUCUAUUCCCUCAGAGGUUUUUAUUAGACCUUUUCCUGCAAUAGGUGAGAAAUUACCAUCAGCUAUCCGAACCUUUUUAUUUCCAGGACACGGUGAAUAGGAUUCAAACAUGUUUGAGGAAUUGGUCAUGUGGUCGGAUGCUCCAGAAUCGAUUAUCCAUGGAGUAGAUUUAAAACGACAAGAUAGAGCAUAUAAUUCAUUACCUGUGUGUGCCAAAGAAACACUAGAAGUACCGGAUGUCAAGUUGGAUUUCAGCAGUGCAAGAAGAUGCUCCAUUUGCUCAGUAGUGAAGGGGCUGGUCUCAGCCUCAUUAGCAGUAGGAAUAAUGGCUCGGCUUGGUUUUGUUUCCUUUCAAAUUUGCAGGUUUCCCAUGGAUUUUCCAACAAUUCUCACGAGUAUGGCGAGGUUUGUUGCAAAAAUCACACCAAACCCGUGGUCUUUCAUCUGAUUUGUGCUGAAACACAGCAGCUUUAUUAUAGCCUCCACUCGUGGUAACCAAGGUUGAACCUUCAAUAGCAACUCCAGGUCCCUUCUUGCCCAACAUCACAUUCCUUCGACUCUCCUCUUCUAACUUUUGAAAAAACUUCACCAAUUGAAGGCAGGGGUUGUCUUCCAAUGAUUCUCCCCCUUACCUCAUCAAACUCAACAUUAAGGCCAGCCAAGAACUUGAAGAUCUGAUUGUCUUCCAUGGUCUUCUUAUGAUGAAGUCCAUCCUCGGUAGAUUUCCACUCAUAGGUGUUGAAGAGGUCAAGGUCUUGCCAGAUCCGCUUCGAGGAGUUGAAGUACUUUGUGAUGUUGUCCUCCCCUUGUUGUAUCUUACCAAGUUUGAGGGUUAAUUCAAAGAUCUGUGAUUGAUUCCCUAAAUUAGAAUACAUUUGAUUUACAUUCUCCCAAAGCUCUUGUGCUAUUGGAUAGCACAUGUAAUUAGAGCUAAUGUCUUCUUCCAUAGAAUUCACAAGCCAUGACAUCACCAUGGAAUUCUCAGCAUCCCAUAUAGCAUAGUUCGGAUCAUCCACUGCAGGAGCCUUCUUUUCACGCGUUAGGUAGCCCAUCUUUCCACGUCCUCUGAUGUACAUCCGAACUGAUUGAGACCAUCUCAGAAAGUUGUCACCAUUCAAGCGAAUCGUGGUGAUUUGGAUAGAGUGAGAUUUCGAGGUGGUAGGAUUGAUUUUUGAAGAAUCAGUGAUGAUGGGAUUGUUCAGAGAAGGUUGAGGAACAGUAGUGGACUCGUUUGAAAUAUCCGACAUGGUUUCAAAGAACAGGGAUUGAAAGAGAGGAAGGAGGAGGAUUUCGGCAAGCAAAUUGCGAGCUUUGAUACCAAGUUGAAGAAUAGGGUUUCACGGGAAUAAUUUUCUUUCAUUGAGAUUAUUCUUUUAUAGAGUUUACAGCAUAUACAAAUCCUUCAAAUUAGGAAACUAAAUCACUGAUUAAAAGGAAAGAAUAACUCCUAACAAUUACUUUCCUAAAAAUACAAAGAUUGACAACUAAUAAAUAACUUACACCUUUACAAAGUUAUUUCUUUCCAUAUCAGCUUCGGUUUUCCAACAGUUAUUAAUUCUUUGAGUUAUGAAAUGGGAUUUAGGAAUUUAGGAUUAAAGGGAAAUAUGAUUUCUAUGAAAUGUGUCUUAUCUAAUUCAUAGACCUCCAUGAUUUCAGCUUUUAUCAGCUUGCUGUUAUCCCUCAGCUGAUUAUUGUUAUUAUGGAAUAUAAAUUGAUCCAAUAAUGUGGAGUCUUAAUAUCCCUCUUUUUAAAAAAAAAAAAAAAAAUCUGAAAUCUUAAUGUCCCUGUUGUUUCUUCUGAUAUUGCUCAUUUGAUUAUGAAUUAGGUAUAUCCAUGCAGAUCCACAUGGAGCUUCAAGUACUGUGAUCAAGAACCACAAGCCUGAACAUCCAGUACCCCCUCUUACUUUGAACCAAGCAGGAUGUUUCACUGUAAGUUGGUCAUCUUUCAAUAUUCUUUUGGUAUUAUUUCAUUUUAUUGUGUCUUAAGGUAGGAGUGAACAGCAUAUAUGCACUUUGAAUUAUUUAGCUUACAAUUUUUUUGUAAAAUAGGUUUGUCACAGCCAGGUGUGGGAUUCAAAGAUUGUCACAAGUGCUUGGUGGGUUUAUCCUCACCAGGUCAGUAAAACUGCUCCUACUGGGGAAUAUCUUACAGUUGGGAGUUUCAUGAUCCAUGGGAAGAAGAACUUUCUUCCUCCACACCCUCUUAUGAUGGGCUUUGGCUUGUUAUUUUGCUUAGAUGAGAGAGCUCCUUGGGAUCACAUUUAUAUGAAAGGCGGGUGAGAGGUGAGGAGGAAGGGGCACAAGAUUUUGAGGAGAAUGAAUCUCUUAAAGGAAAUUCUGAUUCUGAGUCAGAGAAGGAAGAAACAGAUGAAAAACGUACUGCAGAGUCAAAAAGCAUAACGGAUCCACCAACACAUCAACCAAUAUUAGAAGGCUUUUCUGAAAUUAGUUCUGCUCAUAAUGAAUUGACCACCUCCAAUGUUGGAUCCAUCAAUUUGCCUGAAGUUCCUCUUGAAGAGAGGAAUAUGUUGAAUGGAAAUGAUAGUGAGCAUAUAGAUGAUAUUUCUGGAAGACAUGUUUCUUCUGUCAAUCCACAACUUGAGGAUCUCAUUGAUUGGGC